rnacentral:rRNA from 1 species
UUGAAAAAGUUGGUGGUGAAAUCCCAGAGCUUAACUCUGGAACUGCCAUCAAAACUUUUCAGCUAGAGUAUGAUAGAGGAAAGCAGAAUUUCUAGUGUAGAGGUGAAAUUCGUAGAUAUUAGAAAGAAUACCAAUUGCGAAGGCAGCUUUCUGGAUCAUUACUGACACUGAGGAACGAAAGCAUGGGUAGCGAAGAGGAUUAGAUACCCUCGUAGUCCAUGCCGUAAACGAUGUGUGUUAGACGUUGGAAAUUUAUUUUCAGUGUCGCAGCGAAAGCGAUAAACACACCGCCUGGGGAGUACGACCGCAAGGUUAAAACUCAAAUGAAUUGACGGGGACCCGCACAAGUAGUGGAGCAUGUGGUUUAAUUCGAAGAUACGCGCAGAACCUUACCAACACUUGACAUGUUCGUCGCGACUCUAAGAGAUUAGAGUUUUCGGUUCGGCCGGACGAAACACAGGUGCUGCAUGGCUGUCGUCAGCUCGUGUCGUGAGAUGUUGGGUUAAGUCCCGCAACGAGCGCAACCCUCACUUUUAGUUGCCAUCAUUAAGUUGGGCACUCUGAAAGAACUGCCAGUGAUAAGCUGGAGGAAGGUGGGGAUGACGUCAAGUCCUCAUGGCCCUUACGUGUUGGGCUACACACGUGCUACAAUGGUAUCUACAACAGGAAGCAAG